ACACAACGACCGAGACUGUCCGAGCCGGGGCUCGAACCGGCAACCUUCCGAUUGCAAGGCGAACUCCCAACUCUUGAGCCACGUAUGCACUCAUCCGCCACUUUACUAGGUGCACCUUGCUAGUACAAGCUUGGACACUCUUUUUCCUUCAGACCUGCUGUCAUUUUUCGUGACUUUAACUCAGCGAGGUGCUGGAAACAUUCCACAGAGAUGCUCCGUGUUGACAUCAUAGCAUCACACUGGCUGUACAUUUGUCAGCUGCAGAUCUACAUCUCUUCUUUGACCUCAUCCAAAAGAUGCUCUGCUGCAUUGUGACUGUGGAGACUGUCUGAGUUCAGCAUGAAAUCUUCUGCUGUCUAAUUUUGAACUACUGCUAAAAACCCAGCAGAUCAGCAGUUUGUCAAAUACUCAGAGCAGCUGGUCUGACAUCAUCAACCUCCCUUAUUCUGAUGCUCAGUCUGUCCUGACCAUGUCUACAUGUUUGAGGUGUUGCUGAUGUGAACGGCCGAUCACAUAUUUGGAUUACUGUGACGAGCUGUGGAACAGACGUACCUAACAAAGUGUUUAGCAUGACUUUACUGGACUAUACAGUGGUUGAUGCUUUGUUCUCAGACUCUGUAUGUUUUCUUUGUUUUCUGAUGCACAAAGUUUAACAAGUAUCAUUUUGAUUUUCUUGAUUUCAAGUUUUAUAAAAUCCUUCACACUUCAUUUUUGUGGCUGAACAGUUUUUCCGGACAUGUUUGCAGUAGUCUUUAAAAAAAAAAAUCAGCAAGGUUUUAAUGAAAGUUAAAAAAAAAAAAGAAAAAAAAAAAAGGUCUAAGUCGUAAAGUAUUUUAUUGAUUCAUCACAGAGCUGAACUGACCAACUUUACAUGUUCUGAAAAAGGUUUUGAUUACUGAAGUGUCUUUGUACAGGUGACUGUACGAGAACUGCAUUAAUAGCGGUGAAAAUUACAUUCUUGUUGUGCUAAAUUGAAGAGAGAAAUCCAAAAGAGCAAAAUCAUUUUAAAUGUCAUGUAAUACUGUGUUGUAGGAAGGGGAGGAGCCACAUGCAGGACUCGGAAACUGAAUGAACUCAGAGAGGCAGAUUUAUUUGCUAAUUAACAGAUUGAACAAACUCAAAUACACAAAAUGUUGAAACUCCACCUGAAACAGGCAAAACUAGGACCCUGAACAGUGGAAGCAAAACUGAGCACAAAGGGCACAUUACAGAAGACUGUCAAAAUAAAACAGGAAGUACAAGAAAGACACACUGAGACUCAGACUAAGACAUGUAAGCUUGGCUCCACGACGCAGAACAGAAAGGAGACAGACACGAGUAUGUGACCGAGACACACAGAUGAUACAGAGGCAGACAAAAAAACCAAAGGACCAAACAUGAACAACAAUAAGCACUGAGAUAGAAAAGUAAAUAAUGAAAACUCAGAAAAUACACAACUAACGACUAAACAAAGAGAGAACUAAUAUAGUGCUAAAAUAUGAAAACCUCAGACAUCCAAAAGGAUGAGUCACAA